UACAGAGGUCUCAAGCGUUGUUCGGAUUCGUUGGGCGUAAAGGGUGUGUAGGUGGCGCUGUAAGUCGGGUGUGAAAUUUCGGAGCUUAACUCCGAAACUGCAUUCGAUACUGCGGUGCUUGAGGACUGGAGAGGAGACUGGAAUUCAUGGUGUAGCAGUGAAAUGCGUAGAGAUCAUGAGGAAGACCAGUGGCGAAGGCGGGUCUCUGGACAGUUCCUGACACUGAGACACGAAGGCCAGGGGAGCAAACGGG
rnacentral:rRNA from 1 species